CGGUCCUAAGGUAGCGAAAUUCCUUGUCGGGUAAGUUCCGACCUGCACGAAUGGCGUAAUGAUGGCCACGCUGUCUCCACCCGAGACUCAGUGAAAUUGAAAUCGCUGUGAAGAUGCAGUGUACCCGCGGCUAGACGGAAAGACCCCGUGAACCUUUACUACAGCUUGGCACUGAACAUUGAACCUACAUGUGUAGGAUAGGUGGGAGGCUAUGAAGACGUGACGCCAGUUGCGUUGGAGCCGUCCUUGAAAUACCACCCUUGUAUGUUUGAUGUUCUAACUUAGACCCAUUAUCUGGGUUGAGGACAGUGCCUGGUGGGUAGUUUGACUGGGGCGGUCUCCUCCCAAAGAGUAACGGAGGAGCACGAAGGUGGGCUAAUCACGGUUGGACAUCGUGAGGUUAGUG
rnacentral:rRNA from 1 species